rnacentral:lncRNA from 15 species
CUGCCUGCUCCCCUUAAGCUGUGCCCUCUAGUAUGAGCCUGAGAGGAUGAGAAAGCCCAUCUCUUCACUGCUCAGUCUAAAUCUGACACUCUCUCUUUGCCUUACAGGGUGAGGAGGGGAAUUUUUUUCACUCUUCCCAGAGGGAGAUGGGUGAGUGCCAUGCUCACAGCAUAUAAGAAGAUCACACAGCGAUGCUGAGGAGUUGGCCAUUUCAUGGCAACUCUCUGCCGUGACAGAUGGACAGUGUGCUAUUGCCAUAGCCUAGAGUUUAAAAAUCCAAGCUGCUUACUGACAGUAUUUGGACAACGUAACCACCCAGAUGCCAGACUUUCUCUGAAGUGGAUCGAUGCAAAUGGCUCGCUGUUGCAAUCACAGAUGCCACAAGCAAGGACAGACAGGCAGCCAACAUCUCUUUCUCUCUCUUCCUCCACACACACUCUCUGUGGCACAAAAUGAUCUGCCACUCUGAACAAGAGUAUGCGCUACAGGGCGGCCGCUGGCAUCAAUUUAUCAGCACUGGGCUCAUCCAGAAUAUUGUCUCUCCUUCUGGCAGGAAGCAAAUCAAACAAACAAGAGGACAAAUGGAGAGCAAGAAGAAAAAAAAGGUGGAAAGCAGAACAAAGAGGAAAAGCAGUGGGACUCCUUUUGCCAACCUCUUCAAUCAGAUGUUUCUCAUCCCUUCUCCCCUUGCCUCGUUACACUGUGGUCUCGCCUGGCUGAGUCGGUGCCGGUGGCCUUGCAGACAGCUAGCUGUGCCCAUUACCUUAAGCAUGUCUGGCUGGUGUGAGCUAGAUUAGAGGAGGAAUGAAUAAGGCUUCUUGACUGUGAGCGCCCGGCCACCUACCUAUAAAUCACCUGCUAACUCCCCACAGCCAUCCCCACCACUCCGCCCUCCCUGUGUCAAAAGUCUCUGACCCAAUCAGAAUUUCACUGUUGUUCCCUCUUGCCCCUCCUUCCCCUUUUUUGUCCGUUUUUUUUUCAUACCUGCCUGCUUUUCUCCCCCUUCUUCACAAUC